rnacentral:rRNA from 1 species
UUUUGNUUGUAAAUAGAUAUAAAUUUACCAGGGUACUAUGAAUAGUUAAAAAUUUAAAACUCAAAGGGCUUGGCGGUGUUUUAGACCUAUCAGGGGAACCUGUCUCGUAAUCGACAAUCCACGUUAUAUCUAACCUUUUUUUGUAUCCAGUUUGUAUACCGUCGUCGUCAGGUAACUUUUAAAAAUACAGAAGUUAGCGAUAAAAAUUAUGUAAAUUAAGACGUCAGAUCAAGGUGCAGCCUAUAAAAAGGAGAGGAUGGGUUACAAUUAUCAAAUUCAUAAUCACGGAAAUUUAAAUGAAAUUAUAUUUAGAAGGAGGACUUGAAAGUAAACUAAAAUAUAUAAAUAGUUUUGAAUAAGGCUCUGAAACNUGC